rnacentral:rRNA from 1 species
UACGAAGGGAGCUAGCGUUGUUCGGAAUUACUGGGCGUAAAGGGCGCGUAGGCGGCUCUGUAAGUCAGAUGUGAAAGCCCUGGGCUUAACCUGGGAACUGCAUUUGAUACUGCAAGGCUAGAGAUCGAGAGAGGAAAGUGGAAUUACGAGUGUAGAAGUGAAAUUCGUAGAUAUUCGUAGGAACACCAGUGGCGAAGGCGACUUUCUGGCUCGAUACUGACGCUAAAGCGCGAAAGCGUGGGGAGCAAACAGG